GGCCCGUUAGCUCAGUUGGUUAGAGCGUGGUGCUAAUAACGCCAAGGUCGUGGGUUCGAUCCCCCCACGGGCCA
rnacentral:tRNA from 1 species